rnacentral:rRNA from 1 species
GACGAACGCUGGCGGCGUGCCUAAUACAUGCAAGUUGAGCGCUGAAGGUUGGUACUUGUACCAACUGGAUGAGCAGCGAACGGGUGAGUAACGCGUGGGGAAUCUGCCUUUGAGCGGGGGACAACAUUUGGAAACGAAUGCUAAUACCGCAUAAAAACUUUAAACACAAGUUUUAAGUUUGAAAGAUGCAAUUGCAUCACUCAAAGAUGAUCCCGCGUUGUAUUAGCUAGCUGGUGAGGUAAAGGCUCACCAAGGCGAUGAUACAUAGCCGACCUGAGAGGGUGAUCGGCCACAUUGGGACUGAGACACGGCCCAAACUCCUACGGGAGGCAGCAGUAGGGAAUCUUCGGCAAUGGACGAAAGUCUGACCGAGCAACGCCGCGUGAGUGAAGAAGGUUUUCGGAUCGUAAAACUCUGUUGGUAGAGAAGAACGUUGGUGAGAGUGGAAAGCUCAUCAAGUGACGGUAACUACCCAGAAAGGGACGGCUAACUACGUG